GGUCAAGUGACUAAGAGCAUAUGGUGGAUGCCUUGGCGAUUACAGGCGAAGAAAGACGUGAUAGCCUGCGAUAAGCUUCGGGGAGCUGGCAAAUAAGCUUUGAUCCGGAGAUUUCUGAAUGGGGAAACCCACCCGCAAGGGUAUCGUUAGCUGAAUACAUAGGCUAACGAGGCGAACCUGGAGAACUGAAACAUCUAAGUACCCAGAGGAAAAGACAUCAACCGAGAUUCCGAUAGUAGUGGCGAGCGAAUUCGGAGGAGCCUUCUAGUGAUAGCACGACGGUUAACAAAACGGAAUGGAAAGUCCGGCCAUAGUAGGUGAUAGCCCUGUAUGUGAAAACUGACGUGUGGUACUGAGCUAGAGAAAAGUAGGGCGGGACACGUGUAAUCCUGUCUGAAUAUGGGGGGACCAUCCUCCAAGGCUAAAUACUCGUAAUCGACCGAUAGUGAACCAGUACCGUGAGGGAAAGGCGAAAAGAACCCCGGGAGGGGAGUGAAAUAGAUCCUGAAACCGUAUGCUUACAAAAAGUCGGAGCCUCGAAAGGGGUGACGGCGUACCUUUUGUAUAAUGGGUCAGCGACUUACAUUCAGUGGCAAGCUUAACCGAAUAGGGAAGGCGUAGAGAAAUCGAGUCCGAAUAGGGCGUUCAGUCGCUGGGUGUAGACCCGAAACCAAGUGAUCUAACCAUGGCCAGGAUGAAGGUGCCGUAACAGGUACUGGAGGUCCGAACCGACUGAUGUUGCAAAAUCAGCGGAUGAGCUGUGGUUAGGGGUGAAAGGCUAAACAAACUUGGAAAUAGCUGGUUCUCUCCGAAAACUAUUUAGGUAGUGCCUCAAGUAUUACCUGCGGGGGUAGAGCACUGUUUUGGCUAGGGGGUCAUGGCGACUUACCAAACCAAGGCAAACUCCGAAUACCGCAGAGUACAGCUUGGGAGACAGAGCACCGGGUGCUAACGUCCGGACUCAAGAGGGAAACAACCCAGACCGCCAGCUAAGGUCCCUAAAAUUGGCUAAGUGGGAAACGAAGUGGGAAGGCUAAAACAGUCAGGAUGUUGGCUUAGAAGCAGCCAUCAUUUAAAGAAAGCGUAAUAGCUCACUGAUCGAGUCGUCCUGCGCGGAAGAUGUAACGGGGCUAAGCCAGUUACCGAAGCUGCGGAUGUGCAAUUUAUUGCACGUGGUAGGAGAGCGUUCUGUAAGCCUGUGAAGGUGUCUGGUAACGGAUGCUGGAGGUAUCAGAAGUGCGAAUGCUGACAUGAGUAGCGUUAAAGGGGGUGAAAAGCCCCCUCGCCGUAAGCGCAAGGUUUCCUACGCAACGUUCAUCGGCGUAGGGUGAGUCGGCCCCUAAGGCGAGGCAGAGAUGCGUAGCUGAUGGGAAACAGGUCAAUAUUCCUGUACCGAUCAAUAGUGCGAUGUGGGGACGGAGAAGGUUAGCUCAGCCAACUGUUGGAAUAGUUGGUUCAAGCCUGUAGUCGUGCCUGGUAGGCAAAUCCGCCGGGCUGAGAUGAGGGGUGAUAACGAGUGUGCUUGCACACGAAGUGAGUGAUACCCUGCUUCCAGGAAAAGCCACUAAGCUUCAGCUAUUGACGACCGUACCGCAAACCGACACUGGUGCGCGAGAUGAGUAUUCUAAGGCGCUUGAGAGAACUCAGGAGAAGGAACUCGGCAAAUUGAUACCGUAACUUCGGGAGAAGGUAUGCCCCUAGUAGGUGAAGUUGAACAAACGGAGCUCAAUGGGGUUGCAAAAAAUCGGUGGCUGCGACUGUUUAAUAAAAACACAGCACUCUGCAAACACGAAAGUGGACGUAUAGGGUGUGACGCCUGCCCGGUGCUGGAAGAUUAAAUGAUGGGGUGCAAGCUCUUGAUUGAAGUCCCAGUAAACGGCGGCCGUAACUAUAACGGUCCUAAGGUAGCGAAAUUCCUUGUCGGGUAAGUUCCGACCUGCACGAAUGGCGUAACGAUGGCCACACUGUCUCCUCCUGAGACUCAGCGAAGUUGAAAUGUUUGUGAUGAUGCAAUCUCCCCGCGGAAAGACGGAAAGACCCCAUGAACCUUUACUGUAGCUUUGUAUUGG
rnacentral:rRNA from 1 species